UGGGAAACUGGGUCUAAUACCGAAUAUACCCUGCUGGUCGCAUGGCCUGGUGGGGGAAAGCUUUUGCGGUGUGGGAUGGGCCCGCGGCCUAUCAGCUUGUUGGUGGGGUGAUGGCCUACCAAGGCGACGACGGGUAGCCGGCCUGAGAGGGUGACCGGCCACACUGGGACUGAGAUACGGCCCAGACUCCUACGGGAGGCAGCAGUGGGGAAUAUUGCACAAUGGGCGCAAGCCUGAUGCAGCGACGCCGCGUGAGGGACGACGGCCUUCGGGUUGUAAACCUCUUUCAGCACAGACGAAGCGCAAGUGACGGUAUGUGCAGAAGAAGGACCGGCCAACUACGUGCCAGCAGCCGCGGUAAUACGUAGGGUCCGAGCGUUGUCCGGAAUUACUGGGCGUAAAGAGCUCGUAGGUGGUUUGUCGCGUUGUUCGUGAAAACUCACAACUCAAUUGUGGGCGUGCGGGCGAUACGGGCAGACUGGAGUACUGCAGGGGAGACUGGGAAUUCCUGGUGUAGCGGUGGAAUGCGCAGAUAUCAGGAGGAACACCG
rnacentral:rRNA from 1 species